AUUGAACGCUGGCGGCAGGCCUAACACAUGCAAGUCGAGCGGAUGAAGGGAGCUUGCUCCUGGAUUCAGCGGCGGACGGGUGAGUAAUGCCUAGGAAUCUGCCUGGCAGUGGGGGAUAACGUCCGGAAACGGGCGCUAAUACCGCAUACGUCCUGAGGGAGAAAGUGGGGGAUCUUCGGACCUCACGCUAUCAGAUGAGCCUAGGUCGGAUUAGCUAGUUGGUGGGGUAAAGGCCUACCAAGGCGACGAUCCGUAACUGGUCUGAGAGGAUGAUCAGUCACACUGGAACUGAGACACGGUCCAGACUCCUACGGGAGGCAGCAGUGGGGAAUAUUGGACAAUGGGCGAAAGCCUGAUCCAGCCAUGCCGCGUGUGUGAAGAAGGUCUUCGGAUUGUAAAGCACUUUAAGUUGGGAGGAAGGGCAGUAAGUUAAUACCUUGCUGUUUUGACGUUACCAACAGAAUAAGCACCGGCUAACUUCGU
rnacentral:rRNA from 1 species